GACGAACGCUGGCGGCGUGCUUAACACAUGCAAGUCGAACGGAAAGGCCUCUUUCGGGGGGUACUCGAGUGGCGAACGGGUGAGUAACACGUGAGUAACCUGCCCUUGACUUUGGGAUAACUUCAGGAAACUGGGGCUAAUACCGGAUAGGAGCUCCUGCCGCAUGGUGGGGGUUGGAAAGUUUCGGCGGUUGGGGAUGGACUCGCGGCUUAUCAGCUUGUUGGUGGGGUAGUGGCUUACCAAGGCUUUGACGGGUAGCCGGCCUGAGAGGGUGACCGGCCACAUUGGGACUGAGAUACGGCCCAGACUCCGACGGGAGGCAGCAGUGGGGAAUAUUGCACAAUGGGUGGAAGCCUGAUGCAGCAACGCCGUGUGCGGGAUGACGGCCUUCGGGUUGUAAACCGCUUUCGCUCAUGACGAAGCUUUGUGUGACGGUAGUGGGUAAAGAAGCACCGGCUAACUACGUG
rnacentral:rRNA from 1 species